GACGAACGCUGGCGGCGCGCCUAACACAUGCAAGUCGAACGAGCCGAGGAGAGCUUGCUCUCCAGAGCUAGUGGCGGACGGGUGAGUAACACGUGAGCAACCUGCCUUUCAGAGGGGGAUAACGUUUGGAAACGAACGCUAAUACCGCAUGAUAUAUUGAGGCCACAUGGUUUUGAUAUCAAAGGAGCAAUCCGCUGAAAGAUGGGCUCGCGUCCGAUUAGCUAGUUGGUGAGGUAACGGCCCACCAAGGCGACGAUCGGUAGCCGGACUGAGAGGUUGAUCGGCCACAUUGGGACUGAGACACGGCCCAG
rnacentral:rRNA from 1 species